rnacentral:rRNA from 1 species
AUGGACCCGCGGAGCAUUAACUAUUUGGUGAGGUAAUGGCUCACCAAGGCAACGAUGCGUAGCCGACCUGAGAGGGUGAUCGGCCACACUGGGACUGAGACACGGCCCAGACUCCUACGGGAGGCAGCAGUAGGGAAUCUUCCGCAAUGGACGAAAGUCUGACGGAGCAACGCCGCGUGAGUGAUGAAGGCCUUCGGGUCGUAAAGCUCUGUUGUUAGGGAAGAACAAGUACCGUUCAAAUAGGGCGGUACCAUGACGGUACCUAACCAGAAAGCCACGGCUAACUACGUGCCAGCAGCCGCGGUAAUACGUAGGUGGCAAGCGUUGUCCGGAAUUAUUGGGCGUAAAGGGCUCGCAGGCGGUUCCUUAAGUCUGAUGUGAAAGCCCACGGCUCAACCGUGGAGGGUCAUUGGAAACUGGGGAACUUGAGUACAGAAGAGGAGAGUGGAAUUCCACGUGUAGCGGUGAAAUGCGUAGAGAUGUGGAGGAACACCAGUGGCGAAGGCGACUCUCUGGUCUGUAACUGACGCUGAGGAGCGAAAGCGUGGGGAGCGAACAGGAUUAGAUACCCUGGUAGUCCACGCCGUAAACGAUGAGUGCUAAGUGUUAGAGGGUUUCCGCCCUUUAGUGCUGCAGCAAA